AACGAACGCUGGCGGCGUGCCUAAUACAUGCAAGUCGAGCGAGAAAGCCUCUUCGGAGGUGAGUAAAGCGGCGCACGGGUGAGUAACACGUGGGCAACCUACCCUUGAGUCUGGGAUAACCCGGGGAAACUCGGGCUAAUACCAGAUACGGCUGCGGGGUCUUCGGAUCCCGUGGAGAAAGAUGGCCUCUUCUUGAAAGCUAUCUCUCGAGGAUGGGCCCGCGUCCUAUUAGCUAGUUGGGAGGUAACGGCUCACCAAGGCAAAGAUGGGUAGCUGGUCUGAGAGGAUGGCCAGCCACACUGGAACUGAGACACGGUCCAGACUCCUACGGGAGGCAGCAGUAGGGAAUUUUGGGCAAUGGGCGAAAGCCUGACCCAGCAACGCCGCGUGUGGGAUGAAGGCCCUCGGGUCGUAAACCACUGUCAGGAGGAAAGAAAAG
rnacentral:rRNA from 1 species